rnacentral:sRNA from 1 species
ACAAUGGAGCUCUCGGAGUCUGUGCAGAAAGGCUUCCAGAUGCUGGCGGAUCCCGGCUCCUUCGACUCCAACGCCUUCACGCUUCUCCUCCGGGCGGCAUUCCAGAGUCUGCUGGACGCCCAGGCGGACGAGGCCGUGUUAGAUCAUCCAGACUUGAAACAUAUCGACCCAGUGGUUUUAAAACAUUGUCAUGCAGCAGCUGCAACUUACAUACUAGAGGCAGGAAAGCACCGAGCUGACAAGUCAACUCUAAGGUACAGGAUUUAUUUAAAUAUCCAUUUAUUUUCAAAUACUACUUUAAUGAUUUCAAUUUCAGUUUUAAAAAUGGAGACAGAACUUUGGCUUUUCUUUUCUUUCUUCUAGCACUUAUCUAGAAGACUGUAAAUUUGACAGAGAGCGAAUAGAACUGUUUUGCACGGAAUAUCAGGUUACUUAAAAUUUUUAAUUAACAGUACUAUUUUUCUAUUACUUUGUUUGUAAAGAUCUGUUUUUUUUUUCUUCUUUCUUUCUUUCUUUUUCCUCUCCAGAAUAAUAAGAAUUCCCUAGAAAUCCUACUGGGAAGGUAGGUACUGUAUAAGGUGUCAAGCUGAGGCACUUUUCACUUGCAGGUAUGAAUGGAGAGUGUUGGUGUGAAACAAGAUCUUCGGGAUCUUGACCCA